GUGCCUGGUGAACGGCAAGAACAUCCACUCUCACUUCGUGCCCCAAGAGGUCCCCAAGAGACUGGAGCUCUCCUUCCAGGCCUUCAGCUUUACUGGUCAACUCCUGCUGAUGUAUAUGUCAAUCGCAAGCUGCUGCUCUGGAAUCUAAAGGUCUCAUCUGAUGCUACCAAGAAGGCCUGUUCCUUCCACAGGGGCACAAACAGAUUCCAAUCAGGCCUCUGAGAAGGCUUCCAAUCAGGUGACAGAGAAGGCUUCCAAUCAGGUGACAGAGAAGGCUGACUUGUCCUCUGAACUGAGUCAGGCUUCUGACUCUAGGGGGCCUGGAGACGAGCGAGGGAGCCCUCUCUUGUAGCCUGGGCUCUUCUCCAGGUCCCCUUCACAGUGAGAGACACUGGAGCGCCACAUCCAGGGGUCUUUGGCAGUCCCUGUAGAAUCAGGCUCUGGCUUCCUCCUUCUCCCUUCCCCCUCCUCCCUGGGCCCUCAUUUGUGGCCUGCCAGGGCAGAGCCUGAAACCUCAGGCAAUCUGGCUGUAAGCUUGCUUACCUCAUGACCUUGGAAGCCACUUACCCCUUUGAGCCUCCUUAUCCAGAAGAACAGUAACUGCUGCCCACUGGAUAUUGUUAAUAAAUGCUGCCUUUGUUGCCUGCCUGCCAAAGGAGGGGCCAGGGCUUCCAUUUUUCUGUUUAAUCCUCCCAAUAAUCCCAUGCAGUAGACACAAUCAGGUCCCAUUCUAUAGAUGGGGAAACUGAGGCUUGAGGUCACAUAGGCACCAGUCGAGGCCGGUAUCCCUGCACCCUCUCCCAUGUGAACAACAUGGUUCUGGGUAAUGGGGGCUGUUAUCCUGUCUCCUCCCUGCUCCUGCUGGUGCACUUCCUGCCUCUACUGGUGCACUUUCUGCCGCUACUGGUAUAUUUGCUGCCUCUGCUGGGGCGCCUCCUGCCUCUGCUGGUGUAUCUCCUGCCCCUGCUGGUGCACUUUCUGCCCCCGCUGAUGCACUUCCUGCCUCUGCUGGUGCACUUCCUGGCUCUGCUGGUGCACUUCCUGCCCUUGCUGGUGUAUUUCCUGCCCCUGCUGGUGUACUUCCUUCCCCUGCUGGUGCACUUCCUGCCUCUGCUGGUGCACUUCUUGCCUCUCCAGGCCCUACCUAGCCUCUCCCUCUUAUAUAUGGAAGUCUUCCCAGCUCACUGACACUGGUAACAGGGACUCUGCUCUUGGUGUUGCUGUCUGCCCUGGGGAUGGGCAUCUGUGUCUUUCGUUACUACUGCUGGCUCAGGGCCCAGAGCUUUGAAGCAUGUCCAGAUGCAGGUCCAGGUACCGGAGUCUAAGGAGCCCCCACACCCACCAGGAUUUUCCAAUAAAGAGAUGUUCACC